rnacentral:piRNA from 1 species
GGGAAAAGUUUACUUUGUCUGGGCCU